rnacentral:sRNA from 1 species
GGGGAACUCUGCAAGGAUCUUGCC